AAUGGGUCAGCGACUUAUAUUCUGUAGCAAGGUUAACCGAAUAGGGGAGCCGAAGGGAAACCGAGUCUUAACUGGGCGUUAAGUUGCAGGGUAUAGACCCGAAACCCGGUGAUCUAGCCAUGGGCAGGUUGAAGGUUGGGUAACACUAACUGGAGGACCGAACCGACUAAUGUUGAAAAAUUAGCGGAUGACUUGUGGCUGGGGGUGAAAGGCCAAUCAAACCGGGAGAUAGCUGGUUCUCCCCGAAAGCUAUUUAGGUAGCGCCUCGUGAAUUCAUCUCCGGGGGUAGAGCACUGUUUCGGCAAGGGGGUCAUCCCGACUUACCAACCCGAUGCAAACUGCGAAUACCGGAGAAUGUUAUCACGGGAGACACACGGCGGGUGCUAACGUCCGUCGUGAAGAGGGAAACAACCCAGACCGCCAGCUAAGGUCCCAAAGUCAUGGUUAAGUGGGAAACGAUGUGGGAAGGCCCAGACAGCCAGGAUGUUGGCUUAGAAGCAGCCAUCAUUUAAAGAAAGCGUAAUAGCUCACUGGUCGAGUCGGCCUGCGCGGAAGAUGUAACGGGGCUAAACCAUGCACCGAAGCUGCGGCAGCGACGCUGAUGCGUUGUUGGGUAGGGGAGCGUUCUGUAAGCCUGUGAAGGUGUGCUGUGAGGCAUGCUGGAGGUAUCAGAAGUGCGAAUGCUGACAUAAGUAACGAUAAAGCGGGUGAAAAGCCCGCUCGCCGGAAGACCAAGGGUUCCUGUCCAACGUUAAUCGGGGCAGGGUGAGUCG
rnacentral:rRNA from 1 species